rnacentral:rRNA from 1 species
UGGGUAACCUGCCUCAAAGAGGGGAAUAGCCUCCCGAAAGGGAGAUUAAUACCGCAUAAUAUGUUUAGGUCGCAUGACUUUAACAUCAAAGGAUUUUCUUUUAGAAAUUCCACUUUGAGAUGGACCCGCGGCGCAUUAGCUAGUUGGUGAGGUAACGGCUCACCAAGGCAACGAUGCGUAGCCGACCUGAGAGGGUGAUCGGCCACAUUGGAACUGAGACACGGUCCUGACCUCCGUAGGGACGG